ensembl:lncRNA
AUGUCACUUUCGGUUUGCAUUUUCUUUUAUUUGCUUCAUGCCGGCGGACCUGAUAAACGGGCUCGGUCAGAAGCUAAAGCGGGUCCUCAUAAAAGCCAGUUUGGAAGCGUCCCGCCGAAGUUUGCCUUCCAGGAGCCCUUCGCGGUCAGGAGGGAACAUGGCCGUCUCUCCCUCUGGCAUUCUCCCGGGGGAAAAGGCGGGGGCGGCGGGGGUGGGGGGGGUGGAGGUGGCGGGGGCGGGCUCUAUAGUAUCGGCGGAGGUGGCCAAGCAAACAGGACGGAGGCGCGGUCGUUAAGUUGUUUUUCACUCCUUGUUCGGCAGCGCCGUGCGCUCGCCUUCUUCACGACAGGUGGCGGUAAAGCGGGAAGGAAAGCCGUCUCUGCUGGGCUGCUUCGACGGUGGGCGCUCCGCGUUCAGGGAAAGGUGCUCUCAAGUCGCAACAUGGACAUUCUGGCUUCAAUUGAAAUUGAAUAUAUCAAGAAUUUGCAAAGACAAGUCUCCUUACUGGAAUGUGAGACAUCCUAUCUAUAUCCUUUUAAAAUAAUACUUUUAUUAUCACAGGUAGUUCUUGCAAGUAGUUCUUGCAGGUAGUUCUUAGCAGAUACCUAGAUUGGAUUUUUGACUUACAGCCGUCUUGACUUGCAACCAAUUCGAGUUACAACCAGCUCCGUUCACAACAUUUUGCUUUGAAUUGCAGCCGGCGCUUUGAGAUACAACCUGAAAAAAGGCCUCUUUUCCCCAUUGUUCCCUCCCUCCUUUCCUGUCCUUUUUUUUUAUUAUUAUUAUCCUUAGAGGUCAUUUUAGGUUUUUUUUUUUUUUUAAAAAAAGUCUCCCCCUAGUGGACAGAUUAACUGAGAUGCAACCAGCACCUUGAGAUACAACCAAAAAACAGCCGGAACGGAUUAAUCGCUUUUUAAUGUAUUCCUUUGGGAAAUGGUGCCUUGAGUUAUGACCAACUUCAAUUACAACCAUCAUCCAGAACGAAUUAAGUUCGCAACUCAAGGCACCACUGUAUUCAGUUCCAACAUUAAAUAUAUUUCAGUAAACUUUGUUUGGGAAGACUGAGGAUUGACAUCUACCGUAUUUUUCGCUCCAUAAGAUGCAGUUUCCCCCCCAAAAAAGUGGAGGGAAAAGUGUGUGCGUCUUAUGGAGUGAAUACUGCCCCCCCACCCCAUCACUCCCUUCCCAGGCCUCCGGAGGCCUCAGAAGGCCCCACCCUCACCGACACUCUCAGAGCCUUCCCCGGCUUACAAAGCACCGGCACCCAGCCACUUCUCCUUCCUCCUCCUGCCGCAUGCCCCGUCCACGGAGCUCCUCCAACCUGCGCACCCCACCCAGGGUGUUCGGCGGUGCUUACUCAUGAGUAGACCCAUGGCUCCUGCGGUGCUUACUUGUGAGUAGACCCGCCUUGCAGUCCUUACUCAUGAGUAAACGCGCACAUUUGGCCCCACCCCUCACCAACACCCUCCUACCUUAAUCACCGCUGCUGAGGUCUUUUGGCCUCGAAGCCAUGCAUGUAGAAAUGGAGACUGCCUGCCCUUUGCAAAGAUGGUGGCUGUGGCUUCAUUUAGGGUUGGGAAGCUGCAGCUGU